rnacentral:rRNA from 1 species
AUGCACGCUGGCGGCGUGCCUAGUACAUGCAAGUCGAGCGAACGGACGAGAAGCUUGCUUCUCUGAUGUUAGCGGCGGACGGGUGAGUAACACGUGGAUAACCUACCUAUAAGACUGGGAUAACUUCGGGAAACCGGAGCUAAUACCGGAUAAUAUUUUGAACCGCAUGGUUCAAAAGUGAAAGACGGUCUUGCUGUCACUUAUAGAUGGAUCCGCGCUGCAUUAGCUAGUUGGUAAGGUAACGGCUUACCAAGGCAACGAUGCAUAGCCGACCUGAGAGGGUGAUCGGCCACACUGGAACUGAGACACGGUCCAGACUCCUACGGGAGGCAGCAGUAGGGAAUCUUCCGCAAUGGGCGAAAGCCUGACGGAGCAACGCCGCGUGAGUGAUGAAGGUCUUCGGAUCGUAAAACUCUGUUAUUAGGGAAGAACAUAUGUGUAAGUAACUGUGCACAUCUUGACGGUACCUAAUCAGAAAGCCACGGCUAACUACGUG